rnacentral:rRNA from 1 species
CCUACGGGAGGCAGCAGUGGGGAAUAUUGCACAAUGGGGGGAACCCUGAUGCAGCAACGCCGCGUGAGGGAAGACGGUUUUCGGAUUGUAAACUUCUGUUCUGAGUGAAGAAUAAUGACGGUAGCUAAGGAGCAAGCCACGUCUAACUACGGUCCAGCAGCCGAGGUAAUACGUAGGUGGCCAGCGUUAUCCGGAAUUACUGGGUGUAAAGGGAGCGCAGGCGGGAAGCCAAGUCAGCUGUGAAAACUACGGGCUUAAAUUGUAGACUGCAGUUGAAACUGGUUUUCUUGAGUGAAGGAGAGGUAGGCGGAAUUCGGGGUGUAGCGGUGAAAUGCGUAGAUAUUCGGAGGAACACCGGUGGCGAAGGCGGCAAACUGGGGUUCAACUGACGCUGAGGCUCGAAAGCGUGGGGAGCAAACAGGAUUAGAUACCCUAGUAGUC